rnacentral:rRNA from 1 species
AUUGAACGCUGGCGGCAGGCUUAACACAUGCAAGUCGGACGAGUGGCGAACGGGUGAGUAAUAUAUUGGAAAGUACCGAGUAAUGGGGGAUAACCAAUGGAAAGAGUGGCUAAUACCGCAUACUAUUAGAGCGGCCAAUAUCUGAUUAGCUAGUAGGUGGGGUAAAGGCUCACCAAGGCGACGAUCACUAGCGGGUCUGAGAGGAUGACCCGCCACACUGGAACUGAGACACGGCCCAGACUCCUACGGGAGGCAGCAGUGGGGAAUUUUGGACAAUGGGCGCAAGCCUGAUCCAGCCAUGCCGCGUGUCUGAAGAAGGCCUUCGGGUUGUAAAGGACUUUUGUUGGGGAGGCGUUACCUGCAGAAUAAGCACCGGCUAACUACGUGCCAGCAGCCGCGGUAAUAC